CGGCGAACGGGUGAGUAACGCGUGGAUGACCUACCUUGAGGUGGGGGAUAACUCGGGGAAACUCGGGCUAAUACCGCAUGAUACCGAGAGGUCAAAGGGGGCUCGCAAGGGCUCUCGCCAUAGGAGGGGUCCGCGUUCGAUUAGCUAGUUGGUAGGGUAAUGGCCUACCAAGGCGACGAUCGAUAGCCGGCCUGAGAGGGUGAUCGGCCACACUGGAACUGAGACACGGUCCAG
rnacentral:rRNA from 1 species